AUAGUCUGAAAAUCAUUUUCUUCAUUUGCUGCACCUGCCACUGGAGAGCUCCUGCAACCUUCAGUGAUGCAGAGCAAACAGCCGUUGCCUUGAAGAGAAUGCUUUCCAACUCUUUGGUGCCUGCCACUUCUCCUCUGUCUUGCAUUUGAAAUCCUCCAGGAUGGGAGUCAUGCUUUGUAUAAAAGGAAGAAAAAGGUGUAAUUUAUCCUGUAAUCAGUGAAUUCUGGACUCUUAUGUUGCUCUCUGAAAAAAAGCUGGAGAACCAGAGUCCUGGCAGAUUAUGCAUUUCUCCCUGUUCCAAGAGCAUGAGAUUGUGCAGCUUGCUCUCUGAGAAGUUGCUGUGAGUGCUCCUGAGCUGCAGCUUUUGGGGAAGGUAGUUUGGCCAUAACAAGAACAGAUCCUGAUGCACCGUGUAAAAGGGUGUAAAAGGGACUUUGGGAGGCAGCUGACUUCUCCAAAGAGCUGUGCCAGAUGAAACACACAGCCAGGAUUUCCAGCCCACUGAACCAUGGAACAU
rnacentral:lncRNA from 1 species